rnacentral:rRNA from 1 species
ACACUCCUACGGGAGGCAGCAGUGGGGAAUAUUGCACAAUGGGCGCAAGCCUGAUGCAGCCAUGCCGCGUGUAUGAAGAAGGCCUUCGGGUUGUAAAGUACUUUCAGCGGGGAGGAAGGCGAUAAGGUUAAUAACCUUGUCGAUUGACGUUACCCGCAGAAGAAGCACCGGCUAACUCCGUGCCAGCAGCCGCGGUAAUACGGAGGGUGCAAGCGUUAAUCGGAAUUACUGGGCGUAAAGCGCACGCAGGCGGUCUGUCAAGUCGGAUGUGAAAUCCCCGGGCUCAACCUGGGAACUGCAUGCGAAACUGGCAGGCUAGAGUCUUGUAGAGGGGGGUAGAAUUCCAGGUGUAGCGGUGAAAUGCGUAGAGAUCUGGAGGAAUACCGGUGGCGAAGGCGGCCCCCUGGACAAAGACUGACGCUCAGGUGCGAAAGCGUGGGGAGCAAACAGGAUUAGAAACCCCAGUAGUCCCAUGA